GGAAGUAAAAGUCGUACAAGGUUUCCGUAGGUGAACCUGCGGAAGGAUCAUUAAUGAGUUGUCAUGGGGUUCGAUGCUGGCAGCCAGUUUUUGGAUGCAUGUGCUUGCCCUAACAAUCAUCUUCUUCCAAACACCUGUGCACAUUUUUGAGGGAGUCUUGAGUUGGUUGCCGCUCUUGGGUGAUUUUCUCACAUUCCCUUAAAUCAUUAUACGCUAUUAACAAUGUUGAACGUGCUCUGUGCCGCAAGGCCAUUAAUAUAAUACAACUUUUAACAACGGAUCUCUUGGCUCUC
rnacentral:misc_RNA from 1 species